rnacentral:rRNA from 1 species
AUUUUGCGCAAUGGAGGCAACUCUGACGCAGCCACGCCGCGUGCAGGAGGACGCCCCUACGGGGUGUAAACUGCUUUUCUGCGAGAAGAAGGCCUUGCUUUGGGCAGGGUGUGACGGUAUCGCAGGAAUAAGCACCGGCUAACUCCGUGCCAGCAGCCGCGGUAAUACGGAGGGUGCAAGCGUUGUCCGGAUUUAUUGGGUUUAAAGGGUGCGUAGGCGGCCCGUUAAGUCAGCGGUGAAAUCCCGGGGCUCAACCCCGGAACUGCCGUUGAUACUGGCGGGCUUGAGUUCGGUCGAGGCGGGCGGAACUGGUGGUGUAGCGGUGAAAUGCAUAGAUACCACCAAGAACCCCGAUUGCGAAGGCAGCUCGCUGGGCCGAAACUGACGCUGAGGCACGAAAGCGUGGGGAGCGAACAGG